AAUCCAUAGAGAAUCCAUCACCACCACCACAAGUGAAUCUAUGGCGACGGUUAGCGUUGCUGCGGUGUGGAGAACUCCUAUGCCUAAUCCACGGAGCAAAAUUCAUAAACCAUACGUUGUGGAGCAGAAAUCUCAGCCGAUCAGCCCUUGUCGGUCUCCAUUACUAAGCGGCAUCCGUGCGGACCUGUCCGUAGCUUGUCGCGCUUUUGCGAUGGAGGAGAUGACAUUGGAGACGGCAACGGAGGGGGCGGAAGAGAGGACGUAUAGAGAAGGUUCUGGGAAGGAGAAAAAGAAGGGGGUGCCUGUGUACGUGAUGAUGCCCUUGGACAGCGUGACGAUGAGCAACUCUGUGAACCGGAGGAAGGCGAUGAACGCCAGUUUACAGGCGUUGAAGAGCGCCGGAGUUGAAGGGAUCAUGAUGGACGUAUG
rnacentral:misc_RNA from 1 species